GAGUGCUAGCUCAGUGGUAAAGAGCACUGGCUGCUCUUUCAGAAGACCUGGGGUUCAAUUCCCAGCACUCA
rnacentral:tRNA from 1 species